CGUACCCCAAACCGACACAGGUGGUCAGGUAGAGAAUACCAAGGCGCUUGAGAGAACUCGGGUAAAGGAACUAGGCAAAAUGGUGCCGUAACUUCGGGAGAAGGCACGCUGGCAGUAAGUGAAGCCCCUGCGGGUGGAGCUGAGACCAGUCGAAGAUACCAGGCCCCUGCGACUGUUUAUUAAAAACACAGCACUGUGCAAACACGAAAGUGGACGUAUACGGUGUGACGCCUGCCCGGUGCCGGAAGGUUAAUUGAUGGGGUUAGCGCUUGCGCGAAGCUCUUGAUCGAAGCCCCGGUAAACGGCGGCCGUAACAAUAACGGUCCUAAGGUAGCGAAAUUCCUUGUCGGGUAAGUUCCGACCUGCACGAAUGGCGUAACGACUUCCCCGCUGUCUCCAACGUUGGCUCAGCGAAAUUGAAUUCUCCGUGAAGAUGCGGAGUACCCGCGGUCAGACGGAAAGACCCCGUGCACCUUUACUACAGCUUGACAGUGGUAUUAGCGGUAAAUUGUGUAGGAUAGGUGGGAGGCUAUGAAACCAGGGCGCCAGUUCUGGUGGAGCCAUCCUUGAAAUACCACCCUAUUUAUUGUUGAUAUCUAACCGCGGUCCAUGAACCUGGAUCCGGGACCCUGUCUGGUGGGUAGUUUGACUGGGGCGGUCGCCUCCCAAAGAGUAACGGAGGCGCGCGAUGGUGGGCUCAGAGCGGUCGGAAAUCGCUCGUUGAGUGCAAUGGCAUAAGCCCGCCUGACUGCGAGACUGACAGGUCGAGCAGAGUCGAAAGACGGCCAUAGUGAUCCGGUGGUCCCGCAUGGAAGGGCCAUCGCUCAACGGAUAAAAGGUACUCCGGGGAUAACAGGCUGAUACCGCCCAAGAGUUCACAUCGACGGCGGUGUUUGGCACCUCGAUGUCGGCUCAUCACAUCCUGGGGCUGAAGCAGGUCCCAAGGGUUCGGCUGUUCGCCGAUUAAAGCGGUACGUGAGCUGGGUUUAGAACGUCGUGAGACAGUUCGGUCCCUAUCUGCCGUGGGUGUUGGAAAUUUGAGAGGAGCUGCCCCUAGUACGAGAGGACCGGGGUGGACGUACCUCUGGUGGACCUGUUGUCGCGCCAGCGGCAUAGCAGGGUAGCUAUGUACGGAAGGGAUAACCGCUGAAUGCAUCUAAGCGGGAAACCCACCUCAAAACCAGGUUUCCCUUGAGAGCCGUUCUAGACUAGGACGUCGAUAGGCCAGGUGUGGAAGCGCUGCGAGGCGUGGAGCUUACUGGUACUAAUUGCUCGAUAGGCUUGAUC
rnacentral:rRNA from 1 species